CUUAAGCCGGCCAAGCAGCCACACGGCCUGGCUGGGACAUCUGAAAAUUAGAGACGAGGUUUCACAGUGUUAACAAGGAUGGUCUCGAUCUCCUGACCUCGUGAUCCGCCCGUCUUGGCCUCCCAAAGUGCUGGGAUUAUAGGCGUGAGCCACCGUGCCCGGCCGUCUUCAUCCUUAGAAAGCAGUUAGACAGACACCUGAGAACCAAUCCCAAACUGCAGCCUUCCACAGAACCUUCUGGAACCUUCUGGAAUGCAACUCAUUACUGCCAGAGGGUCUUGGAUGAGAGUCUACUCUCCACCAUUUGUCUUCAAAGAGAAUACCCACAUAUUCUCUUUCCAUGGAAAGGUAAGUUAUUAGAGUUUAUGCAGUCUGGUAUAUUAAUUGACAGCUUUAAAGAAUGUCACGUUUACGAUUCAGUCUCACAGACUGGGUUAAAAAGGCAAUGUUGACUAUUAAGUUAU
rnacentral:lncRNA from 1 species